rnacentral:rRNA from 1 species
CGGGAGGCAGCAGUGAGGAAUAUUGCACAAUGGGGGGAACCCUGAUGCAGCAACGCCGCGUGGAGGAUGACGCAUUUCGGUGUGUAAACUCCUUUUAUAUGUCAAGAAAAUGACGGUAGCAUAUGAAUAAGCACCGGCUA